rnacentral:rRNA from 1 species
CCUACGGGUGGCAGCAGUGGGGAAUAUUGCACAAUGGGGGAAACCCUGAUGCAGCGACGCCGCGUGAGUGAAGAAGUAAUUCGUUAUGUUAAGCUCUAUCAGCAGGGAAGAAAAUGACGGUACCUGAGUAAGAAGCCCCGGCUACCUACGUGCCAGCAGCCGCGGUAAUACGUCGGGGGCAAGCGUUAUCCGGAUUUACUGGGUGUAAAGGGAGCGUAGACGGGAGUGCAAGUCAGGAGUGAAAGGCGGGGGCCCAACCCCCGGACUGCUGUUGAAACUGUACGGAUGGAGUGGAGGAGAGGUAAGUGGAAUUCGUGGUGUAGCGGUGAAAUGCAUAGAUAUUAGGAGGAACACCAGUGGCGAAGGCGGAUUACUGGACUGUAACUGACGUUGAGGCUCGAAAGCGUGGGGAGCAAACAGGAUUAGAUACCCUUGUAGUC